rnacentral:rRNA from 1 species
CCUACGGGGGGCUGCAGUAGGGAAUUUUCGUCAAUGGGCGCAAGCCUGAACGAGCAAUGCCGCGUGAACGAGGAAGGUCUUCGGAUCGUAAAGUUCUGUUGAAGGGGAAAAAGAGCGGAGAGAGGAAAUGCUUUCUGAUUGAUAUUACCCUUCGAGGAAGUCACGGCUAACUACGUGCCAGCAGCCGCGGUAAUACGUAGGUGGCAAGCGUUUUCCGGAUUUACUGGGUGUAAAGGGCGUGCAGCCGGGCCGACAAGUCAGAUGUGAAAUCCGCGGGCUUAACCCGCGAACUGCAUUUGAAACUAUUGGUCUUGAGUACCGGAGAGGUCAUCGGAAUUCCUUGUGUAGCGAUGAAAUGCGUAGAUAUAAGGAAGAACACCAGUGGCGAAGGCGGAUGACUGGACGGCAACUGACGGUGAGGCGCGAAAGCGUGGGGAGCAAACAGGAUUAGAUACCCGAGUAGUC